GCAGCUAAUCUUUCUCUCUUCCCGUUGACCUUCGCAAGGAAACAUCGCUGCGUCUAAAUUUCGUUUCGGAAAGUUGAAUAGAUUGUGUUAGAAAUUUGGUUUCGGCCCGCAGCACUGAUCGAAGGGGGAAGCGUGCCCUCACGACAUGGUCAAGGGUGGAUCAGUCGUGAGGUGAAUCUUUGAGUUUGUAUAUUCAAGAAGUAUAUUCAAACGUCUGUUCAAGCGCAUUAUGAGUUCAACAUAUUCCAGGAAAUCAGACCGGAAACUGAUAUUUACUCAGGAAAUCGUAGACGAAGCUAGAAGCAGAAUUGAAAAAGGUGAAAGUAAAAAAAAAAGUAGCUGCUUCGUUGGGAACGAAAGAAUCCACUUUGAGAAAUAGGCUGAAAUUGGGAACUGUACCAAUUUCCCUGGGACGUCAUAAGCCGUGUUUACUCCUGAGCAGGAACGGCAACUGGCAGACCAUUUGAGGGAGCUAGACAAGAGAUUCUAUGGCAUUACCAGGAAACAGCUCAUGAGUUUAGCGUACGAGUUUGCUGACAAGAACAAAAUUGAACAUAGGUUCAACAGGACUGUGAGACUAGCGGGAAAGAAGUGGGCAUUGGCCUUCUGCAAGAGGCAAAAUCUAACGUUACGCACUCCAGAGAAAUGUAGUCUAGGGAGAGCAAUUGGAUUCAACAAAAUCCAA